GUCUCUGUGGUGUAGUGGUAGAGCACAUGUUCGCGGAUAGAUAAAACUCGGGUUUGAUUCCUGCCUGAGGCG